rnacentral:rRNA from 1 species
UACGUAGGGUGCGAGCGUUAAUCGGAAUUACUGGGCGUAAAGCGUGCGCAGGCGGCUUCGCAAGUCGAGUGUGAAAUCCCCGAGCUUAACUUGGGAAUUGCGCUCGAAACUACUCAGCUAGAGUAUGGGAGAGGGUAGUGGAAUUCCCGGUGUAGCGGUGAAAUGCGUAGAGAUGUGGAGGAACACCAGUGGCGAAGGCGGCUUUUUGGUCUGUAACUGACGCUGAGGCGCGAAAGCGUGGGGAGCAAACAGG